UACGUAGGGGGCAAGCGUUGUCCGGAUUUAUUGGGCGUAAAGAGCGUGUAGGCGGUCUGGUAGGUCCGUUGUGAAAACUCGAGGCUCAACCUCGAGACGCCGAUGGAAACCAUCAGACUAGAGUCCGGAAGAGGAGAGUGGAAUUCCUGGUGUAGCGGUGAAAUGCGCAGAUAUCAGGAAGAACACCCGUGGCUAAGGCGGCUCUCUAGUACGGUACUGACGCUGAGACGCGAAAGCGUGGGUAGCAAACAGG
rnacentral:rRNA from 1 species